AUACGUAGGGGACGAGCGUUGUCCGGAAUUACUGGGCGUAAAGGGCGCGCAGGCGGUAUAUCAAGUCAGCUGUCAAAGACUGGGGCUCAACCCUGGUAUGCGGUUGAAACUGAUAUGCUGGAGUGCUGUAGAGGCAAGUGGAAUUCCCAGUGUAGCGGUGAAAUGCGUAGAUAUUGGGAAGAACACCGGUGGCGAAGGCGACUGGCUGGGCAGAAACUGACGCUGAGGCGCGAAAGCCAGGGGAGCAAACGGGAUUAGAUACCCUGGUAGUCCACGCCGUAAACGAUGGGCGCUCGGCGUCGGCGGCAGACAGUCGGCGGCCAAGCGAAAGCGAUAAGCGCCCCACCUGGGGAGUACAACCGCAAGGUUGAAACUCAAAUGAAUUGGCGGGG
rnacentral:rRNA from 1 species